CUCUGAAAGGAUGCAUCCAUCGGAUGCGACGUUUGGAAAGAAUGGGAGAGAGGGAUGCGUCGGUUAGCAUAUGGCUAACCGCCUCCUAAUUACAACGUGGAGAUUAUCCACAGAAAUAAUUGUAACACUCCCUCUAAUCUACACUUGUCCGUCUAGAAUCAUCAUCUUGAUUAGAGACUCCUUCAAAAACCAUGUGGGAAAAAUAUAAGGAGUAUAGUGUUUGAUAUGUUGUCAAAACUCCUUCAAACCCAGUGGGAAAAAUAAGGAGAAAAUGUCGCAACAUAUAAUGGUUAUUGUCUCCUUUAACUCAAUAUGAGAAAACUCAUAGAAUCAAGAGAACACUAAAUAUGUCGUAUAUACUUUCCUAAAAAACCCAGUGGGGAAAACUGAAAGUGUGACAUAUGUGCUCAUGUUGAUAUUACCUCAUUAAAAACCUUCAUGAGAACCUAUAUAGUAAACUCAUUGAGGGAAAAAGAGUAUAAUAUGAUGCAUUGAACAUGAACAAUUCAGGAAGAUACUCCCCCUGAUUCUUGCAAAAUUCGAAGCCGUCACAUACCAACUCCAUGAACAUAUUUCUGGAAUGUAAAGGUUUGGUAGAGACUUCAUGAACAAAUCAGUCACAUAAUUUGAUUUGCAAGAUAUGCAAUAUAGUGAUAUUGCUUAUUGUGUAACAUGUUGGCAUCUGGGCAACACAAGAAACAUUAUCGUUGAGAUAAUAGUUGGUGGAUGUAGUCAUGAGGUCUAUUUUGAAGACUCUUCAUGAGAGGGCUACUACACAUAGUAGGAACACUAAGCUUGUCUACGAUCCGACAUAGUUGGGAUCUGAUUGAUGUAUCCAAUGAUAUCGGUGUUCACAUUUGUGUGAAACUGAAAAACGAGGACAAGAUGUUCAAUGCCUUGGAGAUAUCGAAAGAUAUUCUUGAGUACCAAUCAAUUGUGUUUGGUGGAUCCAAUGACAUUAUGGAACAUUGAGUCCCAAUAUCUCAUUUUCAUCAUCUCUUCGUCUAUAUAGAUCUUUCUCUAUGUCUAGAGAAUGAACUACCAUGAGAGUUAUGAAUGGAUAAGAUUUGUCCAUAAUGAAUUUCUCCAAUAUAUAUUGGAUAUAGACAACAUAGUAUACCAUAAUGUAUGAAUGAAGGUGCUCAAGUUGUAGUAACGAGUGGUAUUUUGGUUUACCAAAAUCCUUCAUUUUAAACUCCGUCAUUUAGAUGAUUACAUGCGUCAUCAUUGGAGACCCACAAACAUGGAUAAUCAUCAUUGUAGGAGUAAUCCUUGUGUAUAAGGAACUCACUACGUCAGUUGUACCAUAUAUACCAACAACAAUAAGUCGUAUGGUGACUUACUGAUUUUUACACAAUGUAUGUUGCAUUUUGCAUUUCGAUUCAGAAGUGAGAUUCCAUUGAGAAUCAAUCAUAUAUGUCUGAAUCUAGUGAUCCACAUGAAUAUGUGAUUACUACAUCUAUCAACUGCACAGAUAGAUGAUUUUAUACUGCCAAUGAUAUAAGUUAUCGGAAAGAGAUUCCACCUCUAGAGAAUAGUUGGGUAUCUGCGUGAACCCUUGUGCUACAAUACUUGCUCUUUGUUUCACCACCUCGUUGUUCUCAAUUCUGUUUCGAGAAGAAAACUUGUGUAGGUAUUGCUUAUGAAUACCUUUCCAUUAUUGAGCAAGAUCAUUUCUACCUAGAUUAUACCCUUUGCUUGAGUUCAGUCCGAGUGUUGUUCACACUUUGCCAUGGCCAUGGUCUUUGGAUCCGAAUCAUGUGAAAGGUUUUGCAAUCUAGUUGAAAAAUGUAUGUCGACAAUUGUAGACUUCUGGUUACAUGAUUCUCUAGAAUCUAUAUAUCAAUAUAUAGUUGAUGGAAAUACCGUUACCCAUGGUGAUUACUCGCGUUUUCCCAAUGCGAUUUUGUCGGGUAUUCCGAUCUCCUGGUCAUUGUGUGCACUAUGACCAGGGUUGGUGGAG
rnacentral:lncRNA from 1 species